AGUGAACGCUGGCGGUAGGCCUAACACAUGCAAGUCGAACGGCAGCACAGUAAGAGCUUGCUCUUACGGGUGGCGAGUGGCGGACGGGUGAGGAAUACAUCGGAAUCUACUUUUUCGUGGGGGAUAACGUAGGGAAACUUACGCUAAUACCGCAUACGACCUACGGGUGAAAGCAGGGGACCUUCGGACCUUGCGCGAUUGAAUGAGCCGAUGUCGGAUUAGCUAGUUGGCGGGGUAAAGGCCCACCAAGGCGACGAUCCGUAGCUGGUGUGAGAGGAUGAUCAGCCACACUGGAACUGAGACACGGUCCAGACUCCUACGGGAGGCAGCAGUGGGGAAUAUUGGACAAUGGGCGCAAGCCUGAUCCAGCCAUACCGCGUGGGUGAAGAAGGCCUUCGGGUUGUAAAGCCCUUUUGUUGGGAAAGAAAAGCAGCAGGUUAAUACCCCGCUGUUCUGACGGUACCCAAAGAAUAAGCACCGGCUAACUUCGUG
rnacentral:rRNA from 1 species